CUCACCACGCCCAGCGUCUCUGCUUCUAAUACUCAGCUUUUCUCCUCUGUUAAUGAUCAUCACUUCCCAAGAAGAGACCAGUGGAAAUUUCCUGCAGCCACUGUGUUUAUGAGCAGUGCAUGCAUGUGAUUGGGCACACACUGGCCCACUUUUUCUCUCUUUCUUUUCUCUUUCCUCUCUUUCUUCUUUUACUCAUACCCAUCCCAUCUCUUCAUCCAAGCAGAGGAAAACUCUUCUGACCUACUCCCUUUCCAAGCGUGGAUGCUGGAAGAGCCAGCUAUCUCCCAGGGGCGACAGAUCCUGGCUGCUGCAGACUGAGACCUGCGUUGAAAGCCAUCCCGAGUCACCUCAUCAUAGUAAAAUAGCAGCUGCUGCCAGGUAUCGGGGGCCAGUUUUGUGCCAGGGUCUCUCUUCUGUGUUCCAUGUAUCACACUGUCCCCCACAGUGAACUGGGGCAGUGAGCCCCCUUGUGCCAAUGAUGGAAUUAGGGUCCAAAAACAUACAGCACCCUGACCACGGUCACACGGCCAGAAAGGAGCAGAGUGGGUUGCUGAAUGCUGUUCUAUCAGACUUCAGAGCCCAUGCCUAGAACACUGCCUGACACUGACUGCCAGGAAGAGGG
rnacentral:lncRNA from 1 species